GCCCGCCAUUCUACAGAGUAAAGAAAACGCCAGAACUGUGCUGACCAUUUAUCUUUAUUAUUACAGGCCGACUCAGAUUAAGUCUGAGGCCGGUAACAUCAAAAGUGAGGACAAACCCAGCCUUCCUCUCUCCUUCCACACGGAGUCCAAACCUACAGUCACUGGGUCCUGAUUGUGACAGUGGAGCCCAGUUUGCACUGCAGGAUCCAGAGAUGGCAUCAGUGAAGCUGGAAGACAGCAGUCAAACACUGGAGCUGAAUGUCAACAUUAAAGAUGAAGAAGAGGAGGAGAAGAUUGGGAAAUCUGUUUCUCAUGCAGAGUCUGGGUCUUCCUUUCCUGUGGCGGUCCUCAUGAGAGCCAGUUUCAUCAUUGCACUUGAUGGUUUUUGCAAAUGUACUUGAAGAAACUUUCAAAGUUCUUGACAUCUUCCGGAUUGACUGACCAUGUA